AUUGAACGCUGGCGGCAUGCCUUACACAUGCAAGUCGAACGGUAACGGGCCUUCGGGUGCCGACGAGUGGCGAACGGGUGGGUAAUGCAUCGGAACGUACCUUUCAGUGGGGGAUAACGUAGCGAAAGUUACGCUAAUACCGCAUAUUCUGUGAGCAGGAAAGCAGGGGAUCGCAAGACCUUGCGCUGAUUGAGCGGCCGAUGUCAGAUUAGCUAGUUGGUGAGGUAAAGGCUCACCAAGGCGACGAUCUGUAGCGGGUCUGAGAGGAUGAUCCGCCACACUGGGACUGAGACACGGCCCAGACUCCUACGGGAGGCAGCAGUGGGGAAUUUUGGACAAUGGGGGCAACCCUGAUCCAGCCAUGCCGCGUGAGUGAAGAAGGCCUUCGGGUUGUAAAGCUCUUUUGGCCGGGAAGAAAUCGCACAGGCUAAUACCUUGUGUGGAUGACGGUACCGGAAUAAGAAGCACCGACUAACUACGUGCCAGCCGCCGCGGUAACAC
rnacentral:rRNA from 1 species